rnacentral:rRNA from 1 species
UACGUAGGGUGCAAGCGUUGUCCGGAAUUAUUGGGCGUAAAAGAGCUCGUAGGCGGUCUGUCACGUCUGCUGUGAAAACUCGGGGCUUAACCCCGGGCCUGCAGUGGGUACGGGCAGACUAGAGUGCGGUAGGGGAGACUGGAAUUCCUGGUGUAGCGGUGAAAUGCGCAGAUAUCAGGAGGAACACCGGUGGCGAAGGCGGGUCUCUGGGCCGUAACUGACGCUGAGGAGCGAAAGCGUGGGGAGCGAACAGG